UUGGAAAAUCAGAGUAAAUCUUAAGUCCACAGGCUCACACAGGUCAAUCCAAGAAAGAUCAGAGCUCAGCCUAUAAGGCAUAAAAGUUCUCAUCACACUCAAUUUUUUAGCCUUUUCAGAUUUACCAUUUUAAAUAUGGAUGUCCUUCAGUGUUUAACCUAAAACAAAACAGCGCCUCACUCGGUUAUUGAGAGGAAGACAAUACAAGCCAUUAAGUAUCUUAAAAGUUAGGUCAAGCUAUACAAGCAAGAGAGAUCAUCAAAAUCUCUUGUCCUGCCCAACUGUGACUUAUAAUUAACUUUCUCACCAGUAACUUUCUCACCAGUUGUGAGGCUCCCGAAGCCCCUGAGCAUCAAAUGUCCACAUUGAGCUUCACAUAUAGGAUGUGUCUAUCUUCCUAACAUCCCUAGAAACCAGGUGUUCAUCUGCAUAGAGUGCGUGGAAGGACAGCUGGGAGUCAGAGAUUGUAGAGUUCCAGACUUUAUGAGAGAAGGAUGAUGCUGACAUUCUGGAACUUAGAAUGUAGUUACUUUCCUUCAAAUUAUUGGUGAAAUACUUCUGUGCUGACCCUGUAUCACUGUUGACAGCGUGGAAAAAUUUUUUAGAUCAAUCAUUUUUACAAGAAAGCCAACAUCAAACCCUGGCACAGCAUUCUAAGAUGAGAGUAAAUAAUCUGAGAAGACUGAAUAAAUAAGAGAAUCCAAAGAACUUCAGAGAGACACAGACAUUGUUAAGAUCACACAUUUGAUUUGUGGAACCCCGAGUCAGCUGGGGUCAGGUCUGAGUGUGUGUAACUAAGACAUGGAUAAUCAGGGCAGCUAAAGAUAAAAGGCUGCACCUCUAUUGACCAAAGACGUCUAGACAGGCUGUCAAAGACUGUCCUGGUAGCCCAGUCUCCUCCCAGUUCACUGCUCUGCCUGAGAGGCCCUUCUCCCUCUGAGAUGAUGGCCAGAGCUCCUGCUGUUGAGCCAGAACUGCAACAUCAAGAAGGAAGAAGAGUGGAGGGGAAAGAGACACAUGGCAUUCAUCACCAGGUAUGGAACCUGAGGCAGAACUACAUCUCUGGCCCCAUUUUCCAGAACUAUACAUUAGAAUAUCAAAAUGUAUUGCAGUAACAAAACCAUAAAAUGGAUAUCAUUUAACUACAGCAGGAAAAGAUUUUAAAUGAGCUGAGGUCACCACUGUGACAAGCAAUGCACCCUGAGCAGACAUGGAGUGCAGUUGUGGGGACUGUGGAUGCAUGCUAUCAGCAUGCCCACCUGCUCUAAGUUUCACCUGAUGAGCUGCUCUGACUCAAAUCAAAUGUGCGACAAACCAAAACGAACUGGUGCUCCACCCACAUACACGUUCUGUCCAAAGGCUGCUCACUAAAAGAACGGGAAGAACCACCAUCCUGGGAAUGAAGGCUGGGGAGCAGCUGUGGCCACUCGCACACGGUGGCAGGACUUGCUCUCUUCUGGCAAGAGAAAAUGAAAUGGUUGGCAACCGAUACGGAAGCCUAACUGAAGGGGUAAUGAGGUACACAGCGCCUGUAGUUGGGGUGGUAAGAUGGUCUGUCUGCCAACAGCAAAGCAAAGAAAGCUGCAGGUCCACGGGCGUAAGGAAGCUACAGAUCUGUCAUAGCCUUCCUUAUAACUGACCUUCAAGAUUCACAUCCCAACAUCAAGCUAAGGCCUGAGCACUGUACUUCAGACAUAUAUUCUCCCAAACUGGAGUUACCGUGUCCAAGAAUGAAAUAUAUGCUGGAAGUAUUUUUGUAUGUUACUGUAUUUUCCCACUUACUAUAUAUUUGCACACUUUGACAUAAAUGUGUAUUGUGCCUACCAUCACCAGAAGCUGGUGACGCAGAAUGCAGCACAAAGUACGCGCUCUCACAGGAUUUACACGCUAAAUGUUUGCUAACACCUUCUGUUGUUGUCACUGUUUCUGAGACAGGUCUCACUAUGUAGUUCUGGCUGGCCUGAAGCUCACUACGUAGGUCAGGCUGAAUUGAACCUGUGACAAUCUUUCUGCCUCUGCUAAAAUUUCAGGGGUGUUGUCACCACACCCUUUUUGAGAAAGAUAUUUAAAUAAAUUUGACUAUUUCAUAAAA